UACGAAGGGGACUAGCGUUGUUCGGAAUCACUGGGCGUAAAGCGCACGUAGGCGGAUCUGUAAGUCAGGGGUGAAAUCCCGGGGCUCAACCUCGGAACUGCCUUUGAUACUGCGGAUCUCGAGUCCGAUAGAGGUGGGUGGAAUUCCUAGUGUAGAGGUGAAAUUCGUAGAUAUUAGGAAGAACACCGGUGGCGAAGGCGGCCUGCUGGGCAGUUACUGACACUGAGGCGCGACAGCGUGGGGAGCAAACAGG
rnacentral:rRNA from 1 species